rnacentral:rRNA from 1 species
UACGGAGGAUGCAAGCGUUAUCCGGAAUGAUUGGGCGUAAAGCGUCCGCAGGUGGCAGUUCAAGUCUGCUGUCAAAGACCGGGGCUUAACUUCGGAAAGGCAGUGGAAACUGAACAGCUAGAGUAUGGUAGGGGCAGAGGGAAUUCCUGGUGUAGCGGUGAAAUGCGUAGAGAUCAGGAAGAACAUCGGUGGCGAAGGCGCUCUGCUGGACCAUAACUGACACUCAGGGACGAAAAGCUAGGGGAGCGAAUGGG